AUUGAACGCUGGCGGCAUGCCUUACACAUGCAAGUCGAACGGUAACAGGUCUUCGGAUGCUGACGAGUGGCGAACGGGUGAGUAAUACAUCGGAACGUGCCUAGUAGUGGGGGAUAACUACUCGAAAGAGUGGCUAAUACCGCAUGAGAUCUACGGAUGAAAGCAGGGGAUCGCAAGACCUUGUGCUACUAGAGCGGCCGAUGGCAGAUUAGGUAGUUGGUGGGAUAAAAGCUUACCAAGCCGACGAUCUGUAGCUGGUCUGAGAGGACGAUCAGCCACACUGGGACUGAGAAACGGCCCAGACUCCUACGGGGGGCAGCAGUGGGAAUUUUGGACAAUGGGCGCAAGCCUGAUCCAGCAAUGCCGCGUGCAGGAUGAAGGCCUUCGGGUUGUAAACUGCUUUUGUACGGAGCGAAAAGCCCCGGGUUAAUACCCUGGGGUCAUGACGGUACCGUAAGAAUAAGCACCGGCUAACUACGUGCCAGCAGCCGCGGUAA
rnacentral:rRNA from 1 species